GUUUUCCUUGAGGAUAUAUGUGUUGUGUAUAGUUUCAUCAUAAACAUUAUCGAGACUAGUCACCAUGUUCAAGUGAGUUAGGGAUGGUGCUAUAGUGAUACUUUGUUUAUAACGUACCUAACUUGUGAAAUGUGACGAUGGUAUUCAUUUGUUAUCAGAGUUCCAGGAUGAUAUUUGUUUGUAUAUAUAUAUAUAUUUUUUUGUGAAACAUACAUCAUACAAAAAUUGUUUAACAUGCAAUGAUGAAGGACCCUAAUUAGCCACCUAACAAUGUCAUUGUAGUGAAUGUGUACGAUGUACUUAAAAGUGUGUUGUUCUUCUUUUAGUUACCAUGUGCUCAUAGUAUAAUUUCUUGAGUUUGAAUUAUCGAUAUAACAUGCAAAAGUAGUAGAGAUGCACGAACAUUGCAUUUGAUAUACAUAUUUUGUACAACUAUAUUACAUGGUUUGAUUUUUCAAAUUUACUUUUGUGUAUUUGUUUCAAUCCAUGGAAAUUGUUAUACCACUUGAAGUGAUUUGAAACUUAUCUCACCCCAAGUUUUCUACUUAUUUUCUCUUUAAUGAAUUAUAUGCAGGCAAAUAUGGGGACAUCCUUGAUUAUCAAUGGUGGGAUAUUAUCCUCACUAAUAUUUGUAAUGUUUAUUCUAAGAAUAUAUUUUAUCUUCCUAGAUUUUGUUAGUUUUGUUUGGAGCACUGCACUCUUUUUUCCUUCAUCUGGUUUAUUCUUUAGGAUUUUACUAUUAAGGUUUUUAAUGAGGCAGUAAUAAUUUGUUUUAGUUCUCACUUGGGUUUUGACCUAGUUCCCCCAAGUUUUAUACUCUUUUUUUUACUUUUACGUUAUUGCGAGUUAACUUGAUUUUUAAAUUGAUUAAAUGGGUGUCAAUUUAGCUGAGAUAUGUUCAUUUGGAUUAUUUGAGUUACCUCUUGUUUUUAAAAAAAAAAGUAUAUGCAUGUGCUAUAUCUUAGACUGAAUAUAGUAGUAUCAAGGUGUUUGUUCAUGAGAAUAAAAUGGACAAUUAUUCUCUCACAUAUACCAGGGUGUUCUUUAAAGUUUGUUGGAUUAUUUUUUUAUGUUUAAAUUUACUUGUAAGGCUUUGGUUGAUUCUUUAAUUAAUCAUAUUUUAGAAAAUAACUUAAUGUUCAUUAAUUAAAUAAAAAGAUUGACCUAAUUAUUAAUUCAUGGAAAAUAUAUAUUACUUUCACACAUUUCUACAAAGGAUAAUUACUCAUUUAACACCACACAAAGGUUACUAAUGAAAUCUAAAAGAGUGAAAAGGCAUACAUAGGUGCAAUACAAGUUAACUGUUGUAUUUUUAUUAAGUACUUUAUUCCUAAAGUAAAGUAAUUGGUUUGUCCCUUGUUGGCUAAACAAAGUGUGAUACUUGGGAAAUGAUUCAGUGCAGUCAAAAUAUACGCAGUCAGUACAUAUAUACAAACCAUCCGAUUUUGAUCAGACGGUUAAGAUUUUAAGUUAAGAUAUUAGUUAGUUUUUAAAAUAUAAAACUGAGUUUUAAAUUUGACCAUCCGAUCUGUUAUUGAACGGCUCCGAUGUGCCCGAAUGUAGUGCAGUCAGAAAUCCCUGACUACACUCAAACCUGGUCCGUGAUACUUGCUCAAUCAAUAAUUAUUCCAACGGUCCUAUGUAUCUCCUGUAUUUUCUAGUUUUAAUAACAACUAGUUAAAAUACAUGUGCAUUCACACGAGUCUAGACUUUUAUUUGAUAUUUAAGUUUGUCAUUAUAUUACGG
rnacentral:lncRNA from 1 species